UUCGACGUCCACGUGGCACAAUCUGCGUACGUAGAAAGAUCAAAAAGUCACUUCUAUGUACAAAUGUUGCGCUGCCUGGCACAGUGAA
ensembl:miRNA mir-784 miscRNA